rnacentral:rRNA from 1 species
UACGGGGGGGGCAAGCGUUGUUCGGAAUUACUGGGCGUAAAGGGCGCGUAGGCGGCCUGUUAAGUCGAACGUGAAAUCCCCGGGCUCAACCCGGGAACUGCGUCCGAUACUGGCAGGCUUGAAUUCGGGAGAGGGAUGUGGAAUUCCAGGUGUAGCGGUGAAAUGCGUAGAUAUCUGGAGGAACACCGGUGGCGAAGGCGGCAUCCUGGACCGACACUGACGCUGAGGCGCGAAAGCUAGGGUAGCAAACGGG